CGUAUAUUAAAGUUGUUGCAGUUAAUGAGCUCGUAGUUGGAUUUGUGGCGUAUGGUGUGUUCCGGGCACUUGUUGUCUGAGUGACCUGCUGUUGCCAUCCUUGGGUGGAACCUGUGUGGCAUUAGGUUGUCGUGCAGGGGAUGCCCAUCAUUUACUGUGAAAAAAUUAGAGUGUUCAAAGCAGGCUUAUGCCGUUGAAUAUAUUAGCAUGGAAUAAUGAGAUAGGACUUUUUUACUAUUUUGUUGGUUUGCGUAAAGAGGUAAUGAUUAAUAGGGACAGUUGGGGG
rnacentral:rRNA from 1 species